AUUCCAGCUCCAAUAGCGUAUAUUAAAGUUGUUGUGGUUAAAAAGCUCGUAGUUGGAUUUCUGUCGAGGAUGGCCGGUCCGCACUUUGUGCGUGCAUCUGGUUCAGCCUUGGCAUCCUCCUGGGGAACGUAUCUGCGCUUAAUUGCGUGGUGCGGUAUCCAGGACUUUUACUUUGAGGAAAUUAGGGUGUUCGCGGCAGGCAAACGCCUUGAAUACAUUAGCAUGGAAUAAUAAUAUAGGACCUUGGUCCCAUUUUGUUGGUUUCUGGAACUGAGGUAAUGAUUAAUAGGGAUAAUUGGGGGCAUUCGUAUUAACGUGUCAGAGGUGGAAUUCUUGGAUUACGUUACGACGAACUACUGCGAAAGCAUUUGCCAAGGAUGUUUUCAUUA
rnacentral:rRNA from 1 species